ACUAUAAUAGUUUAAAUUAAAACAUUAAUCUUGUAAAUUAAAAUUAAAUAAAUUUUUAUAGUU
rnacentral:tRNA from 1 species